GAUCUGGCCCUCUUGCUCUGGGCUCCCUUUUGUCUGACUGUAGACUCUGGGCACCCUGGCCGCUUGCAGGGGUGAGCACAGCUGUCAUCUGCUCCUGAAGGCGCAGAUGCCCUGACUGUGUGGAUCCUGUCUGUGUGGCCCCUGGCACGCUGUGACCUCCUGCAGCACCGCACUUGCAGUGCUGGCUUUGAUAAUGGAGUUACUUUUAGGCUGAUCUGCCUCUAGCAAAAUGCCUGACACCGAGUAGGUGCCUGGAUGGAAAAAUAGAAGCAGAAGAUUUCACAAGCAGGUUAUACCGAGAACUUAAUUCUUCACCUCAACCUUACCUUGUGCCUUUCCUGAAGAGGAGCUUACCCGCCUUGAGACAGCUGACCCCCGACUCCGCGGCCUUCAUCCAGCAGAGCCAGCAGCAGCCGCCACCGCCCGCCUCGCAGGCCACCACUGCGCUCACGGCCGUGGUGCUGAGUAGCUCGGUCCAGCGCACGGCCGGGAAGACGGCGGCCACCGUGACCAGUGCCCUCCAGCCCCCUGUGCUCAGCCUCACGCAGCCCACGCAGGUCGGCGUCGGCAAGCAGGGGCAACCCACACCGCUGGUGAUCCAGCAGCCUCCGAAGCCAGGAGCCCUGAUCCGGCCCCCGCAGGUGACGUUGACGCAGACACCCAUGGUCGCCCUGCGGCAGCCUCACAACCGGAUCAUGCUCACCACGCCUCAGCAGAUCCAGCUGAACCCACUGCAGCCAGUCCCUGUGGUGAAACCCGCCGUGUUACCUGGAACCAAAGCCCUUUCCGCUGUCUCGGCACAAGCAGCUGCUGCACAGAAAAAUAAACUCAAGGAGCCUGGGGGAGGUUCGUUUCGGGACGAUGAUGACAUUAAUGAUGUUGCAUCGAUGGCUGGAGUAAACUUGUCAGAAGAAAGUGCAAGAAUAUUAGCCACCAACUCUGAAUUGGUGGGCACGCUAACGCGGUCCUGUAAAGAUGAAACCUUCCUCCUCCAAGCGCCUUUGCAGAGAAGAAUAUUAGAAAUAGGUAAAAAACACGGUAUAACGGAAUUACAUCCAGAUGUAGUAAGUUAUGUAUCACAUGCCACGCAACAAAGGCUACAGAAUCUUGUAGAGAAAAUAUCAGAAACAGCUCAGCAGAAGAACUUUUCUUACAAGGAUGACGACAGAUAUGAGCAGGCGAGUGACGUCCGGGCACAGCUCAAGUUUUUUGAACAGCUUGAUCAAAUCGAAAAGCAGAGGAAGGAUGAGCAGGAGCGGGAGAUCCUGAUGAGGGCAGCAAAGUCUCGGUCAAGACAAGAAGAUCCAGAACAGUUAAGGCUGAAACAGAAGGCAAAGGAGAUGCAGCAACAGGAACUGGCACAAAUGAGACAGCGGGACGCCAACCUCACAGCACUAGCAGCGAUCGGGCCCAGGAAAAAGAGGAAAGUGGACUGUCCGGGGCCGGGCUCGGGAGCAGAGGGGUCGGGCCCCGGCUCAGUGGUCCCAGGCAGCUCGGGUGUCGGAACCCCCAGACAGUUCACGCGACAAAGAAUCACGCGGGUCAACCUCAGGGACCUCAUAUUUUGUUUAGAAAAUGAACGUGAGACAAGCCAUUCACUGCUGCUCUACAAAGCAUUCCUUAAGUGACACAGGAGGACGCCUGGGGACUUUUUAUAUAUUUGCAGAUUACGCCUUUUUGUAACAAGCAAAUGGGAUAUUGUUUAAAAAACAGCCACCUCUUUACAAUGGAACAGUUUUAUAUUCCUGUUUCUAAAUCAGCUCUUCAGUGUGAAAGAAAACACGUUUCUGUAACAGAGAGAACACAAAGGCCUGUGGAUACUCUUAAAGGACAACUAAAUCUUAACUCAUCUUGAUUGAGUGGCCUUCUUGCCAAACAAGCCAUAUAUAAAGACUGAUGGAAUCGUUAGCAAAUAAUUAGCUGCCCUCUGUCAACUCAUAGCAGUUUCUGCAUUAUUUGUGCAUUUUGGUUUAGUUCUACCUAACUUACUAUGUAGGUGUAUGUCUACAGCCGAUGACCUCAUUUCGUUUAUUUUAUUUUUGUAAUAGUCAGUUGGCAAAGCAAACUGAUUUUUUAGACUAUUUAUCUUCCUUCCCUUCCCCUCCCACCCCGCUCUCCUCUCUGCCCCCUGCCCUCCCCUCCUCUCCCUUCCCCUCCACUCCGCUGAGAAUCCUGGAGGAAUACACAAUUCAUCGUUGCACCCCCACCUCAGAGUGUAAUUGCAUUUCUGCUUGGUAGAGGCCGAGCCCAGCAAAGGUGGCUCCUUCUGAAUGUGUGGUCAGCAUCUGUACAAAUGCAUUUUAUUUGCUAUAGUUUGUAAAGCUGUAAAGUUAAAAGAGAUGAAAACCUUUUCAGCAUAAAUAUAUUUUACUUGCACUGUGUUUUUUAGCUAAAAGUGAAAACCUAGAUUAAAUAAAAUCAAAGUUGAGAAGAAUCAUC
rnacentral:sRNA from 1 species